rnacentral:rRNA from 1 species
CUACGGGUUGCACCAGUGAGGAAUAUUGCACAAUGGGGGGAACCCUGAUGCAGCGACGCCGCGUGGAGGAUGACGCAUUUCGGUGUGUAAACUCCUUUUAUAUGUCAAGAAAAUGACGGUAGCAUAUGAAUAAGCACCGGCUAACUCCGUGCCAGCAGCCGCGGUAAUACGGAGGGUGCAAGCGUUACUCGGAAUCACUGGGCGUAAAGGACGCGUAGGCGGGUUGGAAAGUCAGGUGUGAAAUCCUACAGCUUAACUGUAGAACUGCACUUGAAACUUCUAAUCUAGAGAAUGGGAGGGGGAGAUGGAAUUAGGGGUGUAGGGGUAAAAUCCGUAGAUAUCACUAGGAAUACCUAAAGCGAAGGCGAUCUCCUGGAACAUUACUGACGCUAAGGCGUGAAAGCGUGGGGAGCAAACAGGAUUAGAUACCCUAGUAGUC